rnacentral:rRNA from 1 species
ACGAACGCUGGCGGCGUGCUUAACACAUGCAAGUCGCACGGAAAGGCCCUGCUUGCAGGGUACUCGAGUGGCGAACGGGUGAGUAACACGUGGGUGAUCUGCCCUGCACUUCGGGAUAAGCCUGGGAAACUGGGUCUAAUACCGGAUAGGAGCCAUUUUUAGUGUGAUGGUUGGAAAGUUUUUUCGGUGUAGGAUGAGCUCGCGGCCUAUCAGCUUGUUGGUGGGGUAAUGGCCUACCAAGGCGGCGACGGGUAGCCGGCCUGAGAGGGUGGACGGCCACAUUGGGACUGAGAUACGGCCCAGACUCCUACGGGAGGCAGCAGUGGGGAAUAUUGCACAAUGGGCGCAAGCCUGAUGCAGCGACGCCGCGUGGGGGAUGACGGCCUUCGGGUUGUAAACUCCUUUCGCUAGGGACGAAGCUUUUGUGACGGUACCUAGAUAAGAAGCACCGGCUAACUACGUG